AACGUAGGGGGCGAGCGUUAUCCGGAAUCACUGGGCGUAAAGGGCGUCUAGGCGGCACGCCAAGUCUUGCGUGAAAGCUCCUGGCUCAACUAGGAGAGUGCGUGGGAAACUGGCGAGCUUGAGACGUGGAGGGGUGCACGGAAUUCCCGGUGGAGUGGUGGAAUGCGUUGAGAUCGGGAGGAACACCAGAAGCGAAGGCGGUGCACUGGCCACGGACUGACGCUGAAGCGCGACAGCGUGGGGAGCGAAC
rnacentral:rRNA from 1 species